rnacentral:misc_RNA from 1 species
AUGAAUUAAAUGAUGAGGUUGUCGCUGGCCCUGCAUGGGCAUGUGCACAUCUUAUCAAUUCAUCCACACACUUUUGUGCACAUUUCAUAGAUUGGCUCAUUAAUAGGAGCUGCCUCUGGGUAGCUUGAGCCUCUCUGUGUAUUUUAUUACAAACAUUUCAGUCUUAGAAUGUAAUUUAUGCAAUUAAUGCAAUGAAAUA